GGUGGAGGGGUUCAGUCUCUUGUACCUCUCUAUAUAGCCCGGGUCGAUCAAGGAAGGAGCAGGGUCCCGUGGAGGAGGGACUGGACCUGGCUGGGGAUAGACUGGGGGGUCCUGUGGUGGCACCUGCUGAUAUGAUGGGGGCACUGGGUUGUGCUGUGGUUGUGCCGGGUAGUACCGUGGCUGGGGCACCGGGUUGUACUGCGGCAGUGGUG
rnacentral:lncRNA from 1 species